AUUGAACGCUGGCGGCAUGCCUUACACAUGCAAGUCGAACGGCAGCACGGGUGCUUGCACCUGGUGGCGAGUGGCGAACGGGUGAGUAAAGUAUCGGAACGUGCCUGGUAGUGGGGGAUAACUAGUCGAAAGACUAGCUAAUACCGCAUACGAUCUAAGGAUGAAAGCAGGGGACCUUCGGGCCUUGUGCUAUCAGAGCGGCCGAUAUCUGAUUAGCUAGUUGGUGGGGUAAAAGUCCACCAAGGCGACGAUCAGUAGCUGGUCUGGGAGGACGACAAGCCACACUGGAACUGAGACACGGUCCAUACUCCUACGGGAGGCAGCAGUGGGGAAUGUUGGACAAUGGGGGCAACCCUGAUUCAGCAAUGCCGCGUGAGUGAAGAAGGCCCUCGGGCUGUAAAGCUCUUUUGUCAGGGAAGAAAAGGCUGUGGCUAAUAUCCACAGCUGCUGACGGUACCUGAAGAAUAAGCACCGGCUAACUACGUGCCAGCAGCCGCCGUAA
rnacentral:rRNA from 1 species